rnacentral:rRNA from 1 species
GUCCAGACUCCUACGGGAGGCAGCAGUGAGGAAUAUUGGUCAAUGGCCGGAAGGCUGAACCAGCCAAGCCGCGUGAAGGACGAAGGUGCCAAGCAUUGUAAACUUCUUUUGUCAAGGGACAAAAUCAGGCUCGAGAGCCUGACCGAGGGUACUUGAAGAAAAAGCAUCGGCUAACUCCGUGCCAGCAGCCGCGGUAAUACGGAGGAUGCGAGCGUUAUCCGGAUUUAUUGGGUUUAAAGGGUGCGUAGGCGGACGCUUAAGUCAGCGGUAAAAUUGCGGGGCUCAACCUCGUCGAGCCGUUGAAACUGGGUGCCUUGAGUGGGCGAGAAGUACGCGGAAUGCGUGGUGUAGCGGUGAAAUGCAUAGAUAUCAUGCAGAACUCCGAUUGCGAAGGCAGCAUACCGGCGCCCGACUGACGCUGAGGCACGAAAGCGUGGGGAUCGAACAGGAUUAGAUACCCUCGUAC